AACUCGGAGAGAGAAAAACAUGAAGACGCAAGUUAUGAUAGUGGUAGCUCUUCUGAUUCUGGUGGCUUUAUCUUCCAACUCGGACAUGGUGGUGGAGGCUCAGUUAGGCCCCGGCGACUGCUACGACUGUUGCGCCACCGGCUGCGUCCAGCGUGACCGUGAGUAUAUACUCUCUUCUUUCUUAAUUGCCACACACACAUAUUCCAUUUCUAUAAAUCUUUUUAAUACUAUUUCAUUUUCAGCCAAAAAAACGUCCAAAUGCGAAUAUCAAUGCGCCAAACGCUGCGGCCGAGGUAAAUAUACUUUAUAACACUAGUUAGAAGAAUAAUGAAACCGGUACCAUGUAAUGAAACUUUUACGGUGUAUGUCUACUAAGCCGAUCAUAUAUAAGUUGAUUUUGUUUUCCAACUGGGUGAAACCAAAAAGGGUUUUGGAACUGAUGUUGGUGUACUUUUUUAUUGCAGGUGGUAAAAGAGCAAGUGGUUAGUCUGGUGCUUAAACUUUGUAUUCACUAAGAUCUAUAUAUACAAUAUGUUGAAUCGUAUCUCUUUAAAACAUAGUAUGCAAUAUCGUAAUCAAUAAAUCAAGUGGUUGUGGUUCACUGUUGAGUUAGAAUGGUAAAAGAUUUGUCUAUAUAUGGGUCAAAGCCUCAUACCAACUAUGGACCUCCCUUGUUGGGUUUCUAAACAGUCUACGUAAACCGUAAACGCUUUGAGAAGCAAAAGGCAUGCGUUUCUACAUGCUUCUGGGAUUAUCACAAAUUAGCAUAUAAUCCAGUUCGGCUAUAAUAGCUACAAUGUUUGUGUUGGAGAUAAGCUUGAAGAAAGCUUGAGGAGCAAGUAAUCUAUUUCCUAUUUGGUUUAUGAUCCAUUUGAGAUAAGGAUCAUAAUAUGAUUUGUGUUUAUCUAUUAGGAAUAGGAAUUAUGAGUUAUAUAUAAAGCAAUGCCGAAUGAGACAUAUAGCUACGAUUAUUGUGAUUGAGUUUGUGAGUUGUGAUAUUGAGCUUUGAGGUGAUUGAAUAAAGAAGAGGGACUUCCCAUUGUGAUUUACUGUGUUGCUAGCUUGAUCUUCUGUUUCUAUAUUUGGUAUCAGAGCCAGACAUUGAAAGCAUAAGAUUAUAAUGGCAGACAUAAAAGAUGAACACGAACUUGGCAACAAAGAGGCUCGAUCCUCAUCCAUUAAGUUUACAAUGUUAACAUCUACAAACUAUACGGUGUGGGCUAUGAGAAUGAAGAUUCCGUUGAAGGUUCACAAGGUUUGGGAAGUUAUCGAUCCUGGAAACAAAUCCGAAGAAAAAAUUAACUUAGCUAUCGCACUCUUGUUUCAAUCAAUUCCGGAGGCAUUGACUUUACAAGUAGGAGAUCUAGACACGGCAAAAGCCGUGUGGGACGCUAUCAAAGCUCGCCAUAUAGGAGCUGAGAGAGUACGAGAAGCUAGGUUACAAACACUGAUGGCAGAAUUUGAAAGAAUCAAGAUGAAAGAUGGUGAUACGAUUGAUAUGUUCGUUGGAAGAUUGUCUGAAAUAACUUCAAAAUCUGCAUCUCUGGGAGAAGUCAUUGAGGAACCAAAGCUGGUAAAGAAGUUUCUGAAAAGCUUGCCGAGAAAGAAAUAUAUACACAUGGUUGCUUCUUUAGAACAAGUCCUGGACCUUAAUGAAACAAGUUUCGAGGACAUUGUUGGUAGAAUGAAAGCGUAUGAGGAGAGAGUUGCUGAAGAUGAAGAAGACGACAUAGCAGUUGAUCAAGAGAAACUGAUGUACGCAAACAUGGACUAUAGUCAAGACGGCAAUAGCGGGAACUAUGGCAGAGGCAGAGGACGAGGUGGUCGCGGCUCAUGGAAAGGAAGAGGUCGUGGCCGCUCUGGAUCUUUUCAUCAACAGAGAGAUGCAUACAAACAAGGAAAAGGUCGUGAUCUCUCUCAUAUUACAUGUUUUCAGUGUGAUAAACAGGGCCACUAUGCGACUGAGUGUCCAAACAAAGUACUAAAACUUCAAGAGACCACUGAGAAGAAGGAUGAAGAAACUCAAGAAGCAUAUGAACUAAUGAUGAAUGAAGUUGUCUUUCUCAAUGAAAACAGAGUGAACCCUAAUAUUUUUGAGGCUGAGACUGAUUCAAGUAAUGUUUGGUAUCUCGACAAUGGAGCGAGUAACCAUAUGAGUGGUAAUCGUCACUUCUUUUCAGAGCUGGAUGAGACUGUUACUGGUAAAGUACGGUUUGGCGACGACUCCAGAAUAAAUAUAGAAGGAAAAGGCGCAGUAUGUUUUAUCUUCGAUGGAGGGGAGAUGAAGAUACUAAAUAAUGUUUACUACAUUCCUAAACUUAAGAGCAACAUUGUGAGUCUAGGCCAAGCUACUGAGGUAGGCUGUGAGGUACGAAUGAAAAAUAAUACACUGCUACUCUAUGACCGCGUGGGACAACUAAUGGUAAGGACAACUAGGUCAAAGAAUAGGCUAUACAAGGUCAAUCUACAAGUCGACCUUAUUCGUUGUCUUCAAGUAAAGUCUACAACAGAUUCAACUAAAUGGCAUGCUCGGUUGGGUCAUAUUAAUAAAGAAACGAUGAAGAUGAUGGUGAGCAAGGAUCUUGUUGUUGGGAUACCGGAGAUUAAAGUUAAUAAAGAAAUGUGUGUGUCUUGCUUGCGGGGAAAACAAACUAGAAUGCCAUUCCCACGAGCAACGUCCUUUCGAGCAACUGAUCUACUUGAGCUGAUUCAUGGGGAUUUGUGUGGGCCUAUUACAGCAGCAACACCAGCGCACAAACGGUACAUAUUCGUACUCAUUGAUGAUCACUCCCGUUACAUGUGGACUGUUUUGUUAGGUGAAAAAAGCGAAGCCUUUGAAAAAUUCAAAACAUUCAGAUCGCUUGUUGAACAAGAAACAAAGACAACGAUAAAAACGCUCCGUACAGACAGGGGAGGUGAGUUUACCUCCCACGAGUUUCAAGCGUACUGUGAUAAGAAUGGGAUUAAUAGAAACUUGACGGCUCCCUACUCACCUCAACAAAACGGAGUUGUGGAGCGACGUAACUGCACGUUGUUGGAGAUGACAAGAAGCUUGCUGAAACACAUGAACAUGCCAAAUGCAUUGUGGGGUGAAGCAACGAGACACGCUACCUACUUGAUUAACAGAGUGGCAAUGAGAUCAUUAGAAGGAAAAACGCCAUACGAGGUCUUGAGAAGUCGAAAGCCUAAUCUAUCUCACUUAAGAGUAUUUGGUUGUGUGUGUUAUGCGAAAACAGAUACUGCAGGACGAAAGAAACUCGAUGACAGGACGAGGAUACUUGUUCAUCUUGGAACAGAACCUGGAUCAAAGGUGUAUCGCCUAGUUGAUCCGGUAAGCAAACGAGUUGUAGUAAGCCAGGAUGUUCUCUUCGAUGAGGAAAAGGAAUGGAGCUGGAGUCAUGGAAUAAACUCGUUAAACACUGAUCUAGGAGAGUUUAGAGUUAACUUAAAACAGUUGAGUAAUGGUGAAGAAACUCCAGUGGAGUUGACUGAUAAUGGUGAAGAAGAUGAAGAGGAACAGAGCAACAGCGAUGAAGAAGAAAGCGUGAAUCAACCAAGAAGAUCAUCUCGUGUAACCACUAAACCUUCUUACCUUGAUGAUUACGUUAUGCUUGCAGAAAUCGAAGGUGAACGUUUGUUGGUGAUCAUAAAUAAUGAGCCGUGGGACUUUAGUGAGGCUAAAAGUUUGAAAGUCUGGAUUGAGGCUUGUGAGGAUGAGCUUUACUCGAUAGAAAAAAAUAAUACAUGGACUCUUGUGGAUCUACCCGAAGGAGUGAAGCCAAUCGGAUUAAAAUGGGUAUUUAAAAUCAAACGUAAUGCAGAUGGAAGCAUCAGUAAGUAUAAAGCUCGCUUAGUAGCUAAGGGGUACGUCCAGAGGCAUGGUGUGGACUUUGAUGAAGUAUUCACUCCAGUAGCUCGUAUUGAAACCAUAAGAUUGAUCAUUGCACUUGCAGCCUCGAGUGGAUGGGAGAUACAUCAUCUCGAUGUAAAAACGGCCUUUAUCCAUGGAGAUCUAAAGGAAGAGGUAUAUGUUAAUCAACCUGAGGGUUUCGUUGUUGCAGGACACGAAAAGAAAGUUUACAAGCUCAAGAAAGCUUUAUAUGGCUUGCGUCAAGCUCCUAGGGCCUGGAACAUUAAGUUGAACCAGAGCCUACGCGGACUAAACUUCGAGCGAUGCUCGAAGGAACCAUCACUCUACCGAAAGGUAGUGAGUAAGGAGCUUCUUGUUGUAGUAGUGUACGUAGACGACCUGCUUAUCACUGGAUCCUCGCUGAAACUAAUUCAUGAGUUUAAACUUGAGAUGGCGGCUAAGUUCGAGAUGAGUGAUCUUGGUAAAUUAACAUAUUACUUGGGUAUUGAGGUUCAUCAACAUGAGGGAGACAUCAUACUAAAACAAGACCGUUAUGCACAAAGAAUACUUGAGAAAACUGGUAUGAGUUCUUGUAAUCCGACACAUGUGCCGAUGGAGAUGAAUGCAAGAUUCUCUAGAGCGCUUAAAGAGAAGAGCAUUGGAGAAACAGAGUAUCGCCGCAGCAUUGGUUGUCUCAGGUACCUACUACAUACUCGGCCUGAUCUAUCAUAUUCUGUUGGGGUCCUUAGUAGAUAUAUGCAAGAUCCAAGGGACUCGCAUGGCGCAGCCUUAAAACAGGUUUUAAGGUAUCUACGGGGAACAUGUUCGCUUGGCCUACACUUCAAACGCAACCUGAGUGUGAAGUUAACAGGGUUUAGUGACAGUUCUCAUAAUGUUGAUGAGGAUGAUGGAAAGAGCACAACUGGCCACAUCUUUUAUCUUGGAGAGAGCCCUAUCACCUGGUGUUCGACCAAGCAAGAGAUAGUAGCAUUGUCCUCUUGUGAAGCUGAGUUUAUGGCUGCAACUGAAGCAGCUAAGCAGGCCAUUUGGCUCCAAGAUCUCUUAAGUGAAACCGUAGGAGAAAGAAGCAAGCGUGUGGUUAUAAAAGUUGAUAACAAAUCAGCAAUUGCAUUGACAAAAAAUCCAGUCUUUCACAGACGGAGUAAACACAUACACCGAAGGUUUCACUUUAUUAGAGAGUGUGUUGAGAAUGAACAAGUGGAGGUGGAGCAUGUACCUGGAAGUGAACAGCGAGCUGACAUACUGACGAAAUCUUUUGGAAGGAUAAAAUUCAAGAAAAUGAGAGGCAUGAUCGGAGUGAAGGAUGUGAAUGAAAUUGAGUUCAAGCUUAAGGGGGAGAUUGUUGGAGAUAAGCUUGAAGAAAUCUUGAGGAGCAAGUAAUCUAUUUCCUAUUUGGUUUAUGAUCCAUUUGAGAUAAGGAUCAUAAUAUAAUUUGUGUUUAUCUAUUAGGAAUAGGAAUUAUGAGUUAUAUAUAAAGCAAUGUCGAAUGAGACAUAUAGCUACGAUUAUUGUGAUUGAGUUUGUGAGUUGUGAUAUUGAGCUUUGAGGUGAUUGAAUAAAGAAG
rnacentral:lncRNA from 1 species